CAGUCCAGCCACAGGGCAAAGUGGAAGGCUCAGAGACACCCAGGCCUCCCCAGGCAGGAACAAUCAGUCCAUCAUUUGCUUUUGCACCUCUGCUCCCUCCCACUUAUCCAACAGCUCCUUGUCCAGGCUGCUGCAAGCACCAUCCCUACGUCCAGGCAGGAUAUUACCAUUCAGUCAGCCUGAGGCAGCUACCCUAUUGAAAUGAGCAUUAAAAUCUGCCAGAGAAACUUCUCAUCUAGGAAUUGGACUUCCAAAUCCAUUAGAUGCAUCUGCAAACCUUAGACACAAACAGGAGCACAGUUUGAAAUGUUCCGGGGUAUCUCCCCUGCCCCAUCUGGUGCUUGAUCAUAAGCAAUUAGCAAAACAUUGUGAACUUUUUGAAAAAUCCAUCUACAAGUAAUCCCCAAAGUGAAAUGGUCUCAGCACAGAAUCCUCCUGCUCCAAACCUGCAGGAAUGAGGAGGAAAUAAGAAUUUAACAAUUUAAUAUUCCAGUCAGCUGGGUUUUGUUUAUUAAUCCCUCAUCUUUUCAAGCAAGCAGAGCUGGUGCUGUCUCCUCUUGGAGACACGAGCUUGGAGCUAAUGGCAAUGGAGACUUUGAGAGAGGCAAUGGAUAGAGGCAAAGUUUGGCAUUGAUUGGAAUCAUCUUGUGCAGGAGCUUGUUUCACUGCAAGGAAGCAAAGUGGGAAGCCCAGCUGCACCCAGUGGGGAUAGAACCAGCCUGGAAUGCCUCCUCUAGGGGUGGAUCAUGGGAAUCAUCCCGGGCUGUGGCCCUGCCUGUGCUGUGGCAUUGCUGGCAGAGCCCAUGUGCUCCUCAGGGCAGGUCAGGCUCAGCCUUCAGGCUGGGUUCCAAGUUGCUCAUUGGUUUUUAAAGCAGAAGCUGGGGCCAAAGGCAGCAGCAGGCUCAGAAAUGCUCUUCUGUGGCUGAUCUGGUCCUAAAGGGAAUAAAAGCACGUUGAUCAGUCUGACAGACACCUCUGGCAGUUCCUGUGGGACAAAGUGCCUGUUGAGAGCUGCUUCCCUUCCUCCCGAUGUCUGAAGGGCAGCCGUUUUUGGUAUCCUCAAAAUAUUGCCCUUGUACCCCUGUCCUGUUGCUUGUCUCCUUCUGCUUGGAACUCAGCAGGAAUGUGAAGCCUGAGAUGGAUGGGAUGAGAGUCUGGAGACAAGGCAAGGCAGCAGAGCUCCCUCUGGAGCUGGAGCCCGCUGCAGCUCUAGAGGGAAGAGUCCUUGGGUCUGAUCCAUGAAACUGAGCCCAACAAAGCCAAGCACGUGCCCAGUCCUGCCUGUGGCUCUGGCUCUUGGCUGCAGGUGCUUUAUGCCAGACUCGCUUUCCAGUCUGGGCACUAAGGAGGUGCAAUUCCUUGUGCAGUUGUCCUGCUGGACACACAGAGAAGUGCUACUGGAUAACCUGCUAGUGCAGCCUGAGCCUCAUGGGAUUGCAGGCUGCAGACACUUGUCCAAGAAAUCAAGUACAAGUUGUUCACAAGUUUAUCCCCCUGCUGCUCUGGUAGCAUCACUGCUGUUCUGGCAUUGCGCAGAGAAACAGUGAAAGAGCCUAUUCCUGACCUUGAUCAGUAGGGCUUUUCCUUCCCAGAACUGGAAAAUGUGAUGUGCUUCUGCUCUGGAGGUGGAGAGCCUGGACUCACUCCUUGAUUGCUCUCUGGCCUAACAAAUGAGUCUUGAUUCCUCCCACAGGAGGAAUUUUUCACCUCAGGCUGGUUAAAAACCUUGCAGCCCAGCUGCAAAGCAGAGGCAGCAAUUCCUGACAGCCCAGAGCUGCCCAACUUCCAAAGA